rnacentral:rRNA from 1 species
UUGUACACACCGCCCGUCACACCACGAGAGUUUGUAACACCCGAAGCCGGUGGAGUAACCAUUUUGGAGCUAGCCGUCGAAGGUGGGACAAAUGAUUGGGGUGAAGUCGUAACAAGGUAGCCGUAUCGGAAGGUGCGGCUGGAUCACCUCCUUUCUAAGGA